rnacentral:rRNA from 1 species
GACAGAGGAUGCAAGCGUUAUCCGGAAUGAUUGGGCGUAAAGCGUCUGUAGGUGGCUUUUCAAGUCCGCCGUCAAAUCCCAGGGCUCAACCCUGGACAGGCGGUGGAAACUACCAAGCUGGAGUACGGUAGGGGCAGAGGGAAUUUCCGGUGGAGCGGUGAAAUGCGUAGAUAUGCGGAGGAACACCGAUGGCGAAGGCAGUCCCCUGGGCCUGUACUGACGCUCAUGCACGAAAGCGUGGGGAGCAAACAGG